AGACGGGAAAGGGAAAAAACAAGGGGGGAGGGAAUUUAGAAAUAUAAUCAAACAGAAAAAUAAUCAAGUGGAGGAAAGGAAAAUAAAUGAGAGAAAAGAAGGAGAGUGGCUGGAAAUAAACUCUAAAUCACUGAUUUAAAAAAAAAACCAACUACUGUUAAACAUGUCUGCCUCUGCAGAAACACUCUUAACGUCAAAAAAGGAGGAAAAGGCGUGACGUGAAUGAAGAGGCCGUCUCUGCGACACAGGACACGCACACACAGGAACCUCCAGCGUAAAGCCAGCAGGCUUUCUUCUCUUCCCCACGAGGACUCUGUUAUCUCACAGCCCCAAACACUUCCAGCAGACACAGAUUUCCUGACUUCUCCAACUAUUUCAUCAGCAAAAAGAGACUCCAUCUGUGUGUCGAAGUCUGGAGAGAAGGCCUGGAUGAGCAGGAGACGAGGGCGAUGAGGGCAAACAGAAUCAGCGGACAAUCGCAAGAAGACGGGGAAGAGCGUCCCGACGGGCCGAACUUCUGCUCUGGGGACGGAGACAAAGGCGUUCCGCAUGAAAGUUGGAGCCGAGCUGAAAGUGAUCAUCCAUCCUCUUCCUCAAACAGAGCAAUCAAAGCUUAACUCGGGGCAAAUCCGCUGGAAAGCAAAGGCAACGUGCCACAGGAGGAGAAAAAAAACGUUUGAUUGAAACAUUUAGUUGGAGGCGGGAUUCGCGCUCGGCGGCAGAGCAAAGGGAUUCGGCGACAGAAAUGGUGCGUCCGCUCAGGUGAGGAAUCAGUCCUUUUUUUUUAGGUAUAAGCCUAAAAAAGUGACAACUGCUCUUACAGGUGGAUACGGGCGAAGACCUGUAGGGCGGCCUGAAGGCGGCCUGCAGGAAAUGCCAAGGUCGUAGACCGCUCACUGACCCAUUGUGCUGCGGCCGACAGCUCAGAGUGAACACGGACACGACACUUCAGGGGAAGCAGCCCGAAAAUCCACAGUGGAAGGGGCGAACGAGCGCCCUGAAACCGCAAGCGGACGGGAAUCGAACAGCGGAAUCUCCAGUCUCCUCCCAGCAUCAGAAAGCAUGGUUCAUGGGUUAACUGAAGUGGUUUGGACCAAUACGACCCUCAGGGUGAAACAGAAGCGGCGUUCUUUGGUGUUCUUCAGCUCCUGUGAGCCUCUGACAGAUCAGCUGUUUGACACAAACACGUCCAGCACGACACCGUUUGCUGUUGACGAGCACGGCAAGCCCGCCUCCACUUUUCCUCGCCGUCUCUCACUUCUGUUUGCUUGCAUAAUCCAAAUGACGUAAGGCAUGUUCUUCUGAAGCUUCAGCUUGAAUUUCUAAACUGUUGUCCAGAGAUUCUGCUUCAGCUCAUCUAAGCCGUCAGAUUUAAAAACAAAAAAAGCCACGAGCCGCUCCAGACUGAGUUUGAGGAGGAAUUAUCAGUCGGUGAUCUUCUCAGGAGCUAAAGAUGAACAUGUAAUUGUUCAGGCAAGAAGAGCACAAACUGAAAAAACCUUAAGUCUCUAUGUUACAACCAGAAAUUAUUCACCGCCCCCUAUUGGACACAGUUUCCCAAAACAUGCAAAAAUAAAAACAGAAUACAUCGCUCCUUCCACGUCCUGUCAGCAGAUCAUUUCCUCCUCUGACAGGACGCUGCGGAGUUUUUCAGACUCCAGAGAUGAGCAGGAAGUGAGUCUUAAAACAACCGCAGAAUGGAAAUGAUAUGUAAAGCUGCAGCCGCAGCGUCUCUGCCGAACCCCGGUUAUCCUGUUACAUCAUUGUUUACCUUUUUGCUUAUUUUAAUACUAUUAUCACGAUGAUGUUCCUCUUUCUGAGUUUUUUUUUGCAACUUUAAAUGAGGGUUUGUGUGAGAUCCAACAAACGGAACCACCAAAACACACCCGAUCCUAAAGUCAGUUGGACUUUCGUUCCAAAUCAGGACAGAUCACAAGCUUCAUUUGAAGACCUACAGAUUUGUUUAUCACCAAAAGGAAAGCAGCUUCUGGUCCUCAACAAACGGCAGAAAAUCCUCUUCCUCUUGUUACGCCAUUAAAGAUACGUUUAACAACUUUGUGUUUCUUUUGACUCAUUUUGUUCAAUAACUGCUUAAAUCAGAACUACUUUCAAUCUGUUCCCCAGUGAACCUUCCUCUGCAAUCCCAUCAUGCAAACUGAUUUUGCAUCUCGAAUGUCCCAUAAGUCCAAAAGACGGAGCCUCCUGCAGGAAACCCGUCCUGCAGAACUUCUGUGGGUUUAGGAGGCAGCAGGGGGCUAAUCUGCUGCUCCCCAGUUGAAACGUCUGUCUGUGCACCAAAGCAGCAGAUUCAGGGACGGAUUGCAUCAAACACCUGCGGCAGACGACGCGUUUUAGUCACGGAAGCUGUGAUGGAGGGGCUUCCAGCAGGAGUGCAAAGAGCAUUUAUGAGCUUAUGGAAGCACGUCCAGAUUUAUUCCUGCAAAAUUUGAAUUGAUUUGAAAAGGAUUUUGAUUUUUUUUUGUUUUUAAGGCUAAUGCAUAAAACCUGAAAGAAGGCAAAUCCAAAAUCCCUUUCAUCAGAUCUCCUCCCAUGAGGAGCAUCAGAACCUCAGAAAGCGAAGAGCACCAUAAUAGUUGGACAUAACCUUCUAGACUCGCAUAGAACAUCUGCUGAAACACAGUGUGUUAGAAUUUCUUAAUGAUCCAGUUACAAGACCCCCAAAAGAUUUAUAGAACACUAAUAAUAAAUUCAGUAGAUGUCUUCCUUAUGCCUUAUAAAUGCUUAUGCAGCAGUUGCAAACCUUUAUGGGAUAUUAUUAAGACAUUUAUUAGCCCUUGUAAAGCCUUUUUGGCACUUUUUUUAAAUAAAACAUUUGUUAGCGUGUCUUGGUCAGUGUAAACUUAACAAGUGAUGCACACUAAACCAAUCGCCAAUGGUCCUGCCAACAGCUAAGAGACAAAUGUCUAAAAAUAAAACUCCUGCAGCUGAGCAGAAGCUAUGUUCUAAAAACACAACACCUUUUUUUACUUUUAUGUUGUCUAAAUAAAAAAUGCAUAACAAUAUUACUGGGACCCCUGGAAACACUUUGAAAAUAGAUCAAGAGAUGAUUGGAGAGGGUCUUUAAGGAAUCUAAUUAUAAAGUGUUACCUGAUCCGGUUUUACUGAACUGUUUUGUGUUGAGCUUUCAUCGCAAUCUAACGUCUUAUCUAGUGUCUCAACAAAUCUGUUCUAGAGAUGUCAAAUUGCAUUACUGCAAUGAUUUGCCAUAUUUACACCUAUGGCUGUCUGGAAAGAUGUUUAUCAAUGUGCAUGGUCCCUAUCAAAUGAAUCAAAUAAACCCUUAGAGAAAGAGGCUUCAGGGUCCGUUUGUGGCGUAUUUCCUGCGUUCUGGUGAGGCUUCUUUUAAGUUCAGGACGGCUGCUUCAAACUCUGGACACAUGAGAAAGCGCUCACCUCGCCGGGGUGUGAAAAUGGGUCAUGGCUAUCAUGAGGCAGAGCGGCACAUUUUCAGAACAGUCAGAAAAGAAGAAGAAAAAAAAAAAAAAAGGAGCCACAGAGACAGUUGAAGUAAAGGGUGAGUACCGUACCUCCAUGGUCUGAGACUGGUGCAUGGCUUUGAUUGCAUUCUGUGCCAUGGCUCUGGUGGAAAACGUGACAAAC